rnacentral:pre_miRNA from 1 species
GCUAGAAGAGCGAAUUAAGUCUGCUAAGGAUGACUGUCUAAUGAACUCAACACUAGAGUUACAAAUUUUUCAAACUCCAUGUGUUAUCAUUAGACAAAUCAUCCUUGGCAACCUAAUAAAACCAUUCUUU